UACGGAGGGUGCAAGCGUUAUCCGGAUUCACUGGGUUUAAAGGGUGCGUAGGCGGGCAGGUAAGUCAGUGGUGAAAUCCCCGAGCUUAACUUGGGAACUGCCGUUGAUACUAUCUGUCUUGAAUACUAUGGAGGUAAGCGGAAUAUGUCAUGUAGCGGUGAAAUGCUUAGAUAUGACAUAGAACACCAAUUGCGAAGGCAGCUCGCUACACGAAUAUUGACUCUGAGGCACGAAAGCGUGGGGAGCAAACAGG
rnacentral:rRNA from 1 species